GGGUUGUGAGGUUAAGCGACUAAGCGUACACGGUGGAUGCCCUGGCAGUCAGAGGCGAUGAAGGACGUGCUAAUCUGCGAUAAGCGUCGGUGAGGUGAUAUGAACCGUUAUAACCGGCGAUUUCCGAAUGGGGAAACCCAGUGUGUUUCGACACACUAUCAUUAACUGAAUCCAUAGGUUAAUGAGGCGAACCGGGGGAACUGAAACAUCUAAGUACCCCGAGGAAAAGAAAUCAACCGAGAUUCCCCCAGUAGCGGCGAGCGAACGGGGAGGAGCCCAGAGCCUGAAUCAGUGUGUGUGUUAGUGGAAGCGUCUGGAAAGGCGCGCGAUACAGGGUGACAGCCCCGUACACAAAAAUGCACAUAUUGUGAGCUCGAUGAGUAGGGCGGGACACGUGGUAUCCUGUCUGAAUAUGGGGGGACCAUCCUCCAAGGCUAAAUACUCCUGACUGACCGAUAGUGAACCAGUACCGUGAGGGAAAGGCGAAAAGAACCCCGGCGAGGGGAGUGAAAAAGAACCUGAAACCGUGUACGUACAAGCAGUGGGAGCCUCUUAAUGGGGUGACUGCGUACCUUUUGUAUAAUGGGUCAGCGACUUAUAUUCUGUAGCAAGGUUAACCGAAUAGGGGAGCCGAAGGGAAACCGAGUCUUAACUGGGCGUUAAGUUGCAGGGUAUAGACCCGAAACCCGGUGAUCUAGCCAUGGGCAGGUUGAAGGUUGGGUAACACUAACUGGAGGACCGAACCGACUAAUGUUGAAAAAUUAGCGGAUGACUUGUGGCUGGGGGUGAAAGGCCAAUCAAACCGGGAGAUAGCUGGUUCUCCCCGAAAGCUAUUUAGGUAGCGCCUCGUGAAUUCAUCUCCGGGGGUAGAGCACUGUUUCGGCAAGGGGGUCAUCCCGACUUACCAACCCGAUGCAAACUGCGAAUACCGGAGAAUGUUAUCACGGGAGACACACGGCGGGUGCUAACGUCCGUCGUGAAGAGGGAAACAACCCAGACCGCCAGCUAAGGUCCCAAAGUCAUGGUUAAGUGGGAAACGAUGUGGGAAGGCCCAGACAGCCAGGAUGUUGGCUUAGAAGCAGCCAUCAUUUAAAGAAAGCGUAAUAGCUCACUGGUCGAGUCGGCCUGCGCGGAAGAUGUAACGGGGCUAAACCAUGCACCGAAGCUGCGGCAGCGACGCUUAUGCGUUGUUGGGUAGGGGAGCGUUCUGUAAGCCUGUGAAGGUGUGCUGUGAGGCAUGCUGGAGGUAUCAGAAGUGCGAAUGCUGACAUAAGUAACGAUAAAGCGGGUGAAAAGCCCGCUCGCCGGAAGACCAAGGGUUCCUGUCCAACGUUAAUCGGGGCAGGGUGAGUCGACCCCUAAGGCGAGGCCGAAAGGCGUAGUCGAUGGGAAACAGGUUAAUAUUCCUGUACUUGGUGUUACUGCGAAGGGGGGACGGAGAAGGCUAUGUUGGCCGGGCGACGGUUGUCCCGGUUUAAGCGUGUAGGCUGGUUUUCCAGGCAAAUCCGGAAAACCAAGGCUGAGGCGUGAUGACGAGGCACUACGGUGCUGAAGCGACAAAUGCCCUGCUUCCAGGAAAAGCCUCUAAGCAUCAGGUAACAUCAAAUCGUACCCCAAACCGACACAGGUGGUCAGGUAGAGAAUACCAAGGCGCUUGAGAGAACUCGGGUGAAGGAACUAGGCAAAAUGGUGCCGUAACUUCGGGAGAAGGCACGCUGAUAUGUAGGUGAAGCGACUUGCUCGUGGAGCUGAAAUCAGUCGAAGAUACCAGCUGGCUGCAACUGUUUAUUAAAAACACAGCACUGUGCAAACACGAAAGUGGACGUAUACGGUGUGACGCCUGCCCGGUGCCGGAAGGUUAAUUGAUGGGGUUAGCGGUAACGCGAAGCUCUUGAUCGAAGCCCCGGUAAACGGCGGCCGUAACUAUAACGGUCCUAAGGUAGCGAAAUUCCUUGUCGGGUAAGUUCCGACCUGCACGAAUGGCGUAAUGAUGGCCAGGCUGUCUCCACCCGAGACUCAGUGAAAUUGAACUCGCUGUGAAGAUGCAGUGUACCCGCGGCAAGACGGAAAGACCCCGUGAACCUUUACUAUAGCUUGACACUGAACAUUGAGCCUUGAUGUGUAGGAUAGGUGGGAGGCUUUGAAGUGUGGACGCCAGUCUGCAUGGAGCCGACCUUGAAAUACCACCCUUUAAUGUUUGAUGUUCUAACGUUGGCCCGUAAUCCGGGUUGCGGACAGUGUCUGGUGGGUAGUUUGACUGGGGCGGUCUCCUCCUAAAGAGUAACGGAGGAGCACGAAGGUUGGCUAAUCCUGGUCGGACAUCAGGAGGUUAGUGCAAUGGCAUAAGCCAGCUUGACUGCGAGCGUGACGGCGCGAGCAGGUGCGAAAGCAGGUCAUAGUGAUCCGGUGGUUCUGAAUGGAAGGGCCAUCGCUCAACGGAUAAAAGGUACUCCGGGGAUAACAGGCUGAUACCGCCCAAGAGUUCAUAUCGACGGCGGUGUUUGGCACCUCGAUGUCGGCUCAUCACAUCCUGGGGCUGAAGUAGGUCCCAAGGGUAUGGCUGUUCGCCAUUUAAAGUGGUACGCGAGCUGGGUUUAGAACGUCGUGAGACAGUUCGGUCCCUAUCUGCCGUGGGCGCUGGAGAACUGAGGGGGGCUGCUCCUAGUACGAGAGGACCGGAGUGGACGCAUCACUGGUGUUCGGGUUGUCAUGCCAAUGGCACUGCCCGGUAGCUAAAUGCGGAAGAGAUAAGUGCUGAAAGCAUCUAAGCACGAAACUUGCCCCGAGAUGAGUUCUCCCUGAGACUUAGAGUCUCCUGAAGGAACGUUGAAGACGACGACGUUGAUAGGCCGGGUGUGUAAGCGCAGCGAUGCGUUGAGCUAACCGGUACUAAUGAACCGUGAGGCUUAACCUUACAACGCCGAAG
rnacentral:rRNA from 1 species